CGUCCCGCCGGCGACCGGCGCACGGGUGAGUAACACGUAUGCAACCUGGCCGCCACAGGGGGAUAACCCGCGGAAACGCGGCCUAAUACCCCGUGACGCCACCGGAGGGCAUCCUCCGGUGGCCAAAGGAGCGAUCCGGUGGCGGAUGGGCAUGCGGCGCAUUAGCUAGUUGGCGGGGUAACGGCCCACCAAGGCGACGAUGCGUAGGGGUUCUGAGAGGAAGGUCCCCCACACUGGUACUGAGACACGGACCAGACUCCUACGGAAGGCAGCAG
rnacentral:rRNA from 1 species